GAGACGUGGCCAUAGCCGACCAAGACGGCUCCCUGGAGCCCUGGGCUCCUCGCUGGCCCCCACCAUGCCCAGAGAGCAGCGGCAGUGUUCCGGGGGCACCAGCACCGGCCCCAGCCCUACCCCUCCAAAACUGGGCUGUCCACAAACGGCAUCUUGGGCUGGGGCAAUGCGGGACUCUGAAGCUGACGGACCGCCAAAGGGUUGCACUGUCAAAGCUUUGGGCUGGGAAAUGUGGGCUGGGGGGUGGGAAAUGGGUGGGGAGGGAAUGGUUGCAGGGUGGGGGGAGGGAAUUUGGGGUGGGAACUCUUUGGGUGGGAACUUGGGGUGGGAAUUCUUGGGGUGCUGGGAUCUUUGUGAGGUUGGAAAUGAAAUGGCUGUACUGUGAUAUUGUUGAGGUGGGGGGAGGGAAUUUGGGGUGGGAAUUCUUGAGGUGGGAACUUGGGGUGGAAACUCUUGGGGCACUGGGAUCUUUCUGAGGUUGGAAAUGAAAUGGCUGUACUGUGAUAUUGUUGAGGUGGGGGGAGGGAAUUUGGGGUGGGAAUUCUUGAGGUGGGAACUCUUGGGGCACUGGGAUCUUUCUGAGGUUGGAAAUGAAAUGGCUGUACUCUGAUGUUGUUGGGGUGGGAAUUUGGGGGGUGGGGAACUGCUGGGGCGAGAAAUGGCUGCCGUGGGAGAUGGUUGGCAUCAAAAAUGAUUGGACUCCGUAACUGCUGGCAUUGAAGAUGGGGGGAGGGGGAGGGAAUUCUGUGGGGUGGCAAUUCUGGGGGAGAAAUUGUACUCUGAUCACGUUACACUCCCAAGUUGUUGGAAUUUGGAGGAAGGAAUUGUUGGGGUGGGAAUGUGGGGGGCUGGGAGGUAUUUUGCAGAGGGAGGG
ensembl:lncRNA